AGUCAAGCCGCGCCGCCCAGACCCGGGAGAGGCAGUAGAAGAGAGCCCCGCGGGAAGGCAACCCCGCCACGACGGGGCUACCGCUCCCGGCUCAGCCGGAGAACUGCAGGAGCCAAGCCGCAGGAUCCCAUUUCCCCCCAGGAACAGCACCGAGGCGGGAAGCGCCACAACCGCCCUCACGCACAAGAGGAGGCUGCGAACCCGAACAGCGGAAGCUUAAGACUAUGUCCUCUUGUCCUGCCACUGGUUACCUGAGAGAAGAGGCUCCUUUCAGACUCAUCACCUGCUUUGUUGCCCUGCUCUGGACCUGCUCCAGUACCUGUGUCCUUCCUGAUUCGAGGGGCCAAAACUGAGAAGGCCACAGAAGGUUUUCCAGGUGCCACAAAGGUGGCUUCCAUCCAUGAGGAAAAAAAACACCAACAAGGGCCUGGCUGGCAAAUAGAUCAGCUCUAUGGGAAUCCCUAUCCAGCAUAUGUGCAGAGCUGGAAAGGUGUUUCCAGCAUCCUGAAAACAUCUGCCAGGUAUUUACCCCAGCACGUUCUGGUACAGGACAUGAUGACUCCUGCACCUCUUGGAUGCAGCCCUGUUGGUUUGCUGCCUGGGGGGAGGCUGUGCUUCUCCUACUCUCCAGAGGGACCCUCCUUCCCCUGCCAUGCUCCCUCAAGAGCCACUCUACCAGCAGGCUUGAAGACUGGGACCCAAGAAGGGAUGAGUCCGUGAAGGAAGAGAAUAGUACCUCCUGCUUUUUCAACAUAUAUAAUGUUCUUUUCAGAGAGCUGCUGAAAGACCUUGCCUUCCUGCAGUGUAUGGAAUUCAUUCCCAUCAGUGAGGUUCUAGAAAAAUCAUAGCAAUAGAAAGGAGGUUGGUUGUCUGUCCCAAGAUUGCAUAAAGUGGUGCAACAACUGUGUACCCAUCCUUACUUUUUUUUUUCCUUAAGAGCCUCCUUUCCUGUAGUGAACAUGCAAUGUGGAAAUGUCUGUCUUGAUGUCCCAGAAACUUUGCUUUGUUAUGCUUCAGCUGUUGCAGAGAAACAUGGAGGUUUUCCAUCCCUUCUGCUGUUUGUUUGAACCCAGGAGUACCUGGUUGUGCAGAUACUAUGUGUAAAAAAAGUAAAGGCUGUAAACAGAAGGAAGAAAGGAGCAUGAAGAUACAGCUUGGACUAAAACUUCAAAUCUUUCAAAUUCCCCAUAUGCUCCUGCAGGAGAGAGACAGCAAGGGCUGGGCUGGAGUGGCGAGAGUAUGAAAAGGAAUUUGGGCUGUUUCAGUGGAUUCACUGGUAUGAUUGCAAAUCCAGAGGAAUGCUGCUCUCAGGCAGGCUGAAUCAGCCCAGCUGCAUUGACAGCUUGCUCUUUUUAUACCAUACAGGUAUCCAACUGGCUGAACUUGAACCUGCCCUAGAUGCAUACGCCAUGGUGAAACAAUAUAUAUUUUAACUUUGGUGCCCUACAAAGUUUGCAAACCUUAUUUUGUGGAGCAGUUGUCUUGGGAACUUGUAUGUAUCCAGGCUUGGGGACUCUAAGGCCUUAUCUUUGUGCAAGAGGAUGAAAGCCCGAAAGGCCACUUGUGUGUUGAUGAAGGCUGGGAGAAAAAAAGCCACACUGAUGAGUGCACAUAGGUCUCUAUGACAGUUAUGAUCCUAAUCCCCUUUCAGGGUUUCAUUCACCUCAGAUGAGCCUCUCUGAGUAUCCAGGCUCUCUGCUGGUCCAUCACUCCAUGAAGCAUUUUGUCUCAUCUGAAGAUUAGUAUCAAUGAAAGAUGGGAUCUGUUGCUGUCUGGUGCUGCCUAUCUUUUUUCAUUCACUAUAGAGAGAAUCUGAAGAUCAGCAGGAACAAGAUGCCUGACUUUUAAACAGUAUCCUGAGCAAGUGCCAAAGGUAGUGUCAGUGGUAAUGGCAAAAGCUUAGGGUGCUGGGGAAGGUCAGCUGAAGCUACUCCAGUCAUCUGCCUUUGCAUUUCUUGAAAAUGUUUUUCAGGUGUAACCUGGCCUUUUUAAUUGGAAGUCUUAAUUUUAUUCUGUGUGGGCAGAAGUUAUUAAAAGAUUUUUAUCCAAUUAACCAGAA